rnacentral:lncRNA from 1 species
GCUGGGAGGAGUUAGCGCAGGGAGAGGAUGGGAGAAACCCCUGGUUUCUUCUCGCUCCCCUUUCUUUCCCAUUAACCAAACACAGACUGAAUCCAGCUGAGGGGGGACCAUGAAAAACUUCACGGAAGGCCUGCCUUUCUGCAGCACAGGGCAGGAAAAUCCAGAGGAACAGAUCUGAGAACCAGCAGCCACGGGUGGAUCUCUCUACACAAGACUGGCUGUGCUGCAAAUCAUUAUGUGGACCAGCCUGACCUUGAACUUGCGGAGUUGCCUUCUGUCUGCCUCUCCUUCCUGAGUGCUGGGAUGAAAGAGAAAUGAAGUCAAACAGGAGCCUUACUCUAAGGAGUACAUGAUCUCCGCCUCCACGCAUGAAGACACGGAAGGGCAAGUGGAAUCUAUGCGGCACAGAGAGGAGGUGAGCGGUUAUCCGAGGAUGAGGUAGGUCUGGGGAUCAGUGAGGGUGUGGUGGGAAUUAUGGGACGUUUUAUAGAAACAGAACAAAAAAAAGUCACAAGUCAAGAUACAUUUUGAAUAUGUUGGUGGGUACAUUGGAUAGGAUGUGUGUAUGGCAACAAAAUGGGGACCCUCUGCCAGAGGCCUGUGUUGCUAGCUGAUGACUUUCUUAGCCUUUGGGUUGGUGGAAGCUGGGGAUCUGAUUUUACUUUCCAAAAGAAUCUACCUACCAGUUGUGGGGGAGUUAGAUCAUAAACAGAGGUAGGCAAUAAAUAGCUCUUAGGGCCUAAUUACAGCCCAAGAUAAACUGUGAUUUGGCUCCUAAUUGAAGUUAGACUUGAAACACUUUACCUCUUCACAGUCACUGACAUUCGAAUCUGCUAAUCAGCCUUUAAAGAGGGUUCAAUAGUGGGUACAGUUUUGUUUUGGAAACUUUUGUUGACAAUACAUAAAAGGACAUUCUCAUUUU